rnacentral:rRNA from 1 species
GCUGUGUAACAAUUUGUAUACGUUGGCACAGUGCUAUCAAAGCUGCAUGCAAGUGUUUUUUGAAAGGAUACAACAUGGGAUGUGAUAUUCAUGUGUGUGUGCCUGCUUUGUCCACAGCCUGUGCUGUAUGAAUCACAUUUCUUGCAACUGAAAUGCUAAUGGCAUGGUAAAGUUCAUGUGACAUGACACAAGCUUGAGAUUCAUGAUGUGCAAGUACCAUGAGGGAAAUGUGAAAAGGACUUUGGAAAGAGAAUUAAAUAAAGCCUGCAUUUGCUGACAAUGAAAGCAAGUGUGGAUGUUCAUGUAAUUGUUACUGCAUCAAUCAAUGUUCAUCUUGGUUACUGCAUGCUUUAUAUUACAGCUCAGAACAUGAAGUGUGUGUAACAGCUCUGCUUUGAUUUUUCCCACAUGGGAUCAGUUGAAACAUUGUGAGAGCACUCUUCAGUUUCCUUAUGUACCCACCAGCUUUGUCCACUCGCGUGUUGGCACACAUGUAAUGAUGAUGUGUUUAUGCAAGAUACUUCUGUGCUCAACAACAUGUUGUGUCAAUCCUCACUUGACCCGUCUUGAAACACGGACCAAGGAGUCUGGCAAGUGUGCAAACCAACUUUCUGUAGAGAUUUGUAUGUAAUGAACAUGUUUGUAUCAUUAUUGCACCACCAAUCAAUAUUCAGCUCGUUGCUUAUUUGAAUGUGAGCAUUGUUGCUAGGACCCGAAAGAUGGUGAACUAUGCUUGCAUAACAUGAGUUCAGAGGAAACUCUGAUGGAAGUUUGUAUCGGUACUGACGUGCAAAUCGUUCGU